ACGGAGGGCGCAGGGGCUGCCCGCUGCGGGCGGGGCCGCCGCGGGGCGGGCAGGGAACGGCGGGGCCGUGGCUGCCCUGGAGCGGUGGCAGCUCCGCCGCCCUCACCGCUCCGACUUGCCCCCGGCUCUUUACGUGCUGAGGCUUUGUGAGUAAGAGGCGGUCAUUUCUCUAUAAACGCAUGUAAGUAACCACGGAGCCGCCUGGCAAGCCCGUUUCAUUUAAGCCGUAUAAGAGGAUAACAUCAAACUCGCUUGCAAUGUCCAGCCUCUCAGAGCGGCAGAUCCCUCAGAGCUGAGGGAGGCUGGCGGUGCUGCAAGGCUGGCCAGCAGCGCGCUGCGGACCCCGCACCGUUGCGCAGCGCUGUCCGGAGGGGCCCGCUCGCAGAGGUGAACACUGUGGCUUUGCGUGCAGGCGUGUGAGUACGAAGCCCUGCCUUUCGGCUACAGCUUGUACACUGUCUCCGUGACUUUUUAAAAUCGUUUAUGCUGGGGUAGUGAGAGUUGGCAGCCCAUCCUAUGUCUUUUACCGUGAUGUCAAACGAGUCAAGGACGUUUUAAGUCCAAGGAAGGUCGUUGACGGAUUUUCUUGAAGUUAAAAUAAAAUAUUGCAGCAUUUGCCAUUAGCAUUAUCUUUUGGAAAUAGCAUGAAGAGCGCUGCACAGGAGGUACUUAAUUGACUGUCGUUUUAUAGAAGUUCUGUUCCCUUUGGCAAGUCCUUCACGUCUAGGAAGAGAACCAGCGUGCCAGAAAGUCUGUUUUCAGCAAGCUUUCCCUUUUUUAAAAAAGCCGAGGUGAUAGGACCAAGAUGGGGUUCGUCACCAAGUGUCCAUAAGAGCAAGUUAACCUGAAAGACCAGUCCAGAAAGAAGCGCUUCAACUCUUUGGGGUUUUUUAUUUUUAUUUUUAUUUUUUUAAUAAUGUGUGAAUAUUAACGUAUUUCAUUCUGCGAAAGCGGCUGCGAAACCGAAACCCAUCAGCUCUUUGUGGCUUGCGCUGCUGGAAUACUGGCAUUUGCUGUACCUGAUCCUGGCUCCCAGUGAAUGCAUUUUAAUUGUAAUAAAACACAAACGGAACCAUAA